GUGGGUUGGUUCAAUGGUUAGAGCGUAGGUCUCGUAACCGAAAGGUCGCGGGAUCGAAUCCCUCUAGCGGCU
rnacentral:tRNA from 1 species